rnacentral:rRNA from 1 species
AGAGUUUGAUCCGUGGCUCGAGGACGAACGCUGGCGGCGUGCUUCAUACAUGCAAGUCGAACGAGAAGCUCACUUCGGUGAGUGGAAAGUGGCGGACGGGUGAGUAAUGUGUAGAGAAUCUGCCUUCAAGCGGGGGAUAGCCAAUGGAAACGUUGAUUAAUACCCCAUAUGAGCGUAACUGAAAUGUUAUUCUUGAAAACUCCGGUGCUUGGAGAUGAGUCUGCAUCUGAUUAGCUAGUUGGAGGUGUAAUGGACCACCAAGGCGACGAUCAGUAGCUGGUUUGAGAGGAUGAUCAGCCACAAUGGGACUGAGACACGGCCCAUACUCC